GACGAACGCUGGCGGCAGGCCUAACACAUGCAAGUCGAGCGCCCCCUUUAGAGCACAAAGACGGAGACGCGGUGGUUGGAGAGAUCCGAUCGCUGGUUUUGGUGUUUUUGUCUUCUGAUGGGGGAGCGGGCGGACGGGUGAGUAACGCGUGGGAAUUUUCCUCAAGGUACGGAACAACUCAGGGAAACUUGGGCUAAUACCGUAUGAUGUCUAGCGACCAAAGAUUUAUCGCCGUUGGGAUAAGCCCCGCGUCAGAUUAGGUAGUUGGUGGGGUAACGGCCUACCAACGCCUGCGAUCUGUAGCUGGUCUGAGAGGACGAUCAGCCACAC
rnacentral:rRNA from 1 species